UUUUGAGGUCUUGUAGUAUGGAAUCCUAUUAUUCUUCAUCUGUAGAACUUCAUCCGCAACCUAGACACCAAAUUAGGGGAUGAAUUUGUGUUUCUGAAAAAGAAGAUAUUUGCUAUUAAACAUCCUCCACGGAACUUCACACAGAAAGUUAGCUCCGCUAGAAAAAACUGAUUUUCCUACUGAUUUUUGAAUAUCUGCAAGUUCAACUUCCUUGACAGAAACAUCAGGAACUGUUCUUCCUUGUAAAGUUGUAAGUCUUGAAAAUGAAACUGGAUGUGACCGAAUUUAUUUGCUACAAAAAUAUUUAUGGUGUUCUCCAAUUGUACCUUG